AUUGAACGCUGGCGGCAGGCCUAACACAUGCAAGUCGAGCGAGCGGCGGACGGGUGAGUAAUGUCUGGGGAACUGCCUGAUGGGGGGGGAUAACUACUGGAAACGGUAGCUAAUACCGCAUACCAUCAGAUGAACCCAUAUGGGAUUAGCUUGUAGGUGGGGUAACGGCUCACCUAGGCGACGAUCCCUAGCUGGUCUGAGAGGAUGAUCAGCCACACUGGGACUGCGACACGGCCCAGACUCCUACGGGAGGCAGCAGUGGGGAAUAUUGCACAAUGGGCGCAAGCCUGAUGCAGCCAUGCCGCGUGUAUGAAGAAGGCCCUAGGGUUGUAAAGUACUUUCAGUCGGGAGGCGUUACCGGCAGAAGAAGCACCGGCUAACUCCGUGCCAGCAGCCGCGGUAAUUC
rnacentral:rRNA from 1 species